GCCCAGACUCCUACGGGAGGCAGCAGUGGGGAAUAUUGCACAAUGGGGGAAACCCUGAUGCAGCGACGCCGCGUGAGUGAAGAAGUAUUUCGGUAUGUAAAGCUCUAUCAGCAGGGAAGAAAAUGACGGUACCUGACUAAGAAGCCCCGGCUAACUACGUGCCAGCAGCCGCGGUAAUACGUAGGGGGCAAGCGUUAUCCGGAUUUACUGGGUGUAAAGGGAGCGUAGACGGCAUGGCAAGUCAGAUGUGAAAGCCCGGGGCUCAACCCCGGGACUGCAUUUGAAACUGUCAGGCUGGAGUGCAGGAGAGGUAAGUGGAAUUCCUAGUGUAGCGGUGAAAUGCGUAGAUAUUAGGAGGAACACCAGUGGCGAAGGCGGCUUACUGGACUGUAACUGACGUUGAGGCUCGAAAGCGUGGGGAGCAAAUGGGAUUAGAUACCCCGGUAGU
rnacentral:rRNA from 1 species